UACGGGGGGGGCAAGCGUUGUUCGGAAUUACUGGGCGUAAAGGGCGCGUAGGCGGCUUUUCAAGUCGGGCGUGAAAUCUCCGGGCUUAACCCGGAAGGGUCGUUCGAUACUGUUGAGCUAGAGUGUGGAAGAGGCAACUAGAAUUCCGUGUGUAGCGGUGAAAUGCGUAGAUAUACGGAGGAAUACCUGAGGCGAAGGCGGGUUGCUGGGCCAACACUGACGCUGAUGCGCGAAAGCCAGGGGAGCAAACGGG
rnacentral:rRNA from 1 species